UAUUCGAGGUCAUGUCUGUACAUGCUAAGCUCGUCGAGUCAACCUAGGUGUUUCGCGUGUGUAAUUCUGGCUUACACCCGUUGUAUGCGAACGUUUAGAAUCUAUCAGACCCGAUCAUCACGUGGUGCUUCGAGACAACGAACCUUCGCAACGGUGCACACUUAGGGGAAUACAUUCUCGAAAUUUUAAGAGGGGUCAUCUUAUUGUGCUACCGUCGUUCUAAGCAAUAAGAUGUAAAACAUGACAAACAUCACAAUGCAAUCAUAUAGUGACAUGAUAUGGCCAUUAUCAUCUUUGCUCUUUUGAUCUCCAUCUUUAGGCAUCGCAUGAUCAUCAUCGUCACCGGCGUGACACCAUGAUCUCCAUCAUCAUGAUCUCCAGCAUCGUGUCUCCGCGAAGUCGUCACGCCAACUACUACUAUCACUACUACUAUAUCUAACCGUUAGCAAUGAAGUAAAAGUAGUAAGCACAUGGCGUUGCAUCUCAUACAAUAAAUUAAGACAACUCCUAUGGCUCCGGCCGGUUGUCAUACUCAUCGACAUGCAAGUCGUGAAACCUAUUACAAUAACAUGAUCAUCUCAUAUAUCAUACAUGCAACAUCACAACUUUGGCCAUAUCACUUCACAUGUCAAACCCUGCAAAAACAAGUUAGACGUCCUCUAAUUGUUGUUGCAAGUUUUACGUGGCUGAUUUGGGUUUCUAGCAAGAAUGCCUUCUUACCCAUGUGACAGCCACAACGAUGAUAUGCCAAAGCUAUUUACCCUUCAUAAGGACCAUUUUCAUCAAAUCCAAUCCCACUAGAGUAGGAGAGACACACACCCGCUAGCCACCUUUAUGCACGGUGUGCAUGUCUGUCGGUGGAACCAGUCUCACGUAAGCGUACGUGUAAAGUCGGUCCGGGCCUCUUCAUCCCACAAUACCGCCGGAAAAGAAUAAGACUAGUAGCGGCAAGCAAAUUCACAAAUCAUCGCCCACAACUUUUGUGUUCUACUCGUGCAUAGAAUCUACGCAUAGAAAACCUGGCUCGGAUGCCACUGUUGGGUAACGUAGCAUAAAUUCAAAAUUUUCCUACGCCAUAUUCAGAUCUUCCUAUGGAGAGACUAGCAACGAGAGAGGGAUAAGAGCAUCUUCAUACCUUUGAAGAUCGCUAAGCGGAAGCGUUACUAGAACGCGGUUGAUG
rnacentral:lncRNA from 1 species